CCUUCUGACUGCUGCUGUGGGCGAGGCCCCUUCCUCCUCAGAGAGCCUGGGGACUAGAAAAUGGCACACUGUCUGUGGCUCAACUUGGAGUCAUCAAAGAGGGGAGCUGGCACAAUGUUUCCUGUCCUCAAAGAGCUACCCAGCGCUCCCAGGAGGCCACGAGGCCUAGGCUCAGCCUGGCUCCUACCAGCCCUCCAGCCCACCGCAGACAACCCUGGCCAACGUGCUCUGGCUGCACCUGGCUACUGCAGGUCCUCGGGCCUCUGUCCAGUCCCACUGAAGGGCCUGGCCAGGUGCUGCCCCCUUCCUGUUCCCCUCCCGACCUGACCUGCCCUUUAAGGCCUCAACUAAAUGUCAGCUCCUCAGAGGGUCAAUAACAAGGACCUCCCUGUUCUCCCAGGCCUCGGCAUUUCUUCCUAGUACUCGGCAUCACUGGGGCUGCAUUAUCUUGUCCUCUAUUUACCUAUGCUUCGUUGCCAUCAUCCAAUGCACUCACACUCCGAUACACCUCCAGCAGGGCAGGGAUUGCGUCCACCUGGUCUUAUUCAUUGUUGCAUCUGCAAUGACUUUUGGGAACUCUGGCACACAGUAAGUGCUCAGCUAAGACUUACUGAACGAACAUAAUAGUUAUUGAUGAAUGACCUCACAGAUCAAUGGAGAGAAAAACGGGUAGGCGUCAGGGCCAGAUCAGGGGCUGGCUGCCAGGUGGCAUGGGAGGCCUGGGGCAGGGACCUACAGGGAGGGGCUCAGAGGAUAUCCUCAUGCCUCUCUCUGUCUAUCCCAGAGGGCCGAGGUUAGCAGAGGCCAACGUGUGGUUUACCCGGCUGGCUGUGCUCUUGGCUGGUGAGGUGGCAAUGAAAUUUACUAUAUGAAGACAUAGGCAGCCACAGUGGGCUUUAUCACGGGCACACAGCCUGCACAGGCAGCAGAGGAACACGCUGUGAAGUCAUGCCACCCACACAAACCAGGAGGAAACAGAAAACAGGGUGUCCUUUCUGCCACAGGUAUUAAUAUUACUGAAGAAACGAAGCCACAAGAUGUUGGCCCUCAUGGUGUGCGAUUCCAAACAUUAAAACCCAGAAACUGUACCAGAUGGGGCCUCAGUGUCCAUACACAAAUCAGAAACUACUUGACUGGCCCGCCUGAGCUCUCAGAGCUUCUGGACCCAUCACUUACAAAAUGCAGUGCUGCUCAACCAGGGGUGACGUGGGCUCCCUCCACCAGGGAACAUCUAGAGGCAUUUUUGGUUGUCAAGAGGGUCAGGGUGAGGAAUGCUGGCAUCUGGUAAUGAGCAGACGGGAAGGCAACUAAGCACUCUGUAUUGUCCGGCAUAGCCCUUAGCAGCGCAGAAUUAUCCAGCCCAAGAUGUCAAUCAUGUUGAGGUUGAGAAACCUGGAAAUAGUGCGCAUAAAAGUUCCUUCUAAAAUGUUGGGGGAAAUGUAUUAUUAAUAAACAUUAACAUUUCUAAAACUCAACAUGUCCCCAGACCCUGAGCUGAAAAACCCUGACUGUCCACACACGAGCAGAGGGGCUGCAGCCCAUGUGCCGGCUCAGAGCUCAGGCUCCGGGGUACUCUCUCCUGCCCCUGUCCCAACUAGGCUGUACAAAGUCCAGCUCUGCUCCUGGUUGGUAAGAGGGCCGCGUGUCUUUCGGUACCAGGCUCGCUUUCCACAGGGGAAAGUAACUGUAACCAGCUAACGGCACAGAAUGGUCCCACCCUCCCCAAAGCAGAAAGGGCGAUUCCAGGCCUGGCCUUGGUGCACAAUGGGCAGAUUGUGUGGCUGUCUCCACCACAGGAGGAGUCGCCUAUGACCCAGGGCAGCAGCCAUCGAGAGGCUGACCUCACAGCCACCCCAGAACAGGACAUGAUCUGUUUCUCUGGGACCAGAGCCACCAGAUGCGUUCAGCUCAGCCUCCCUGGUAUCUGUUGGCCGGCGGUCUCAUCGUCACGCGGCACCAGCUGUGUCAGAGGCUAUCCCAGACGACGACCUCCUGCCAAGGUGGCCCUGAAUCACCAACCCUCAUGCUACCCAUGGAGCCAUCAGCUGUCACCAAAGCCCCUCCAAGCUAUGAUCCUGGUCUUGCCACUUUCUACCUGACACUGGACAAGUGACUUAACUUCCCUGGGGCACAGUUGUCUCCCCUGUAAAAAUGAGGAAAUAAUUCCAUUAUCUCAGGGACUGAGAUGAGGACCAAAGAGGUAAGAGACGAGAACGGCCCACAGCAGAGUGGGCCACGUGCUACAUGCUUGGCAAAUGGGGGGCCUCCCAUGGCUCCCUGGUGACAACACACACCCCUCACUGGGACCCACGGUUCUUACUCUGACCCCACUGGUCAGAAGGCACAAAGGCAAAGAUGACAAACCCACUUAGAUUCUAGGGUGCCAUUUAACCUCUGAUAGACUUAGAUGUUAUCUUCCAAGUCGGAUUGGAAGGCCUAGAAUAACAAACACCUUUGUUUCCUCUACUUCCUCUCCAUCCCUGUGCUGGAGACUGCUCAAUAAACAACAGGGGCCCACAGGUUUGAUUCAAUGCAGCUGUGAAAUCACGUUUUGGGUAACCGUGAGCCACGGCCUUGGGCAGUCCCUUGGAGGCGGACCCAACGGCUCUCAAGGUCUUCUGUGCCAUCCUGCACCUUCCCUAUGCGGUAGGCAAGGAGACUGAGGCCCACAUGGGCUGGCAGGUGAAGGGUGGAGCCAGAAACAGCACUCGAGUCACUCUGACCCCACCUGGCCCUGCCUUUUCAGCAUUUCCGCUGCCCUAGCACAGAAUGCAUCUCCCGCUUGGGGACACAUUCAUAAUCACUGCCUCAUUGACUCCAAUUAGGACUGAGAGCUCUCAAGUCAGCUGGGGCCACAGGUAAGGCUGACAGAGAAGUUCUACUAUCACUGUAAUAACAAUAUUGACAUAAGCCACGGUGACGGACUGUUCACUAAGUGCCAGGCCUGUACUGAGUCGCUUGCACAUGUCAUCACACCGCAGACACAGUCAACAUGGCCAACCCUUACACACACAUGCAGCACUCACACCACGCCAGUCACUACGGGCAUCACAGGGAAAGCACAGGAAGAAGCAGCGUGGCCAAGUGUGCAUUCUCGUCCUGCAUCCUUCAGGGCAGGAGCUCCCUUCCCAGAACCACUUUAGAUCGUUACACACUGAGAGGAGCCAGGAGGACCUGAAUAUGGCCUGUGGAGAAGGCCCUUCAAGCUGAGCCCCUGCUGGGACAAAGCAUCUUGCCUCAGUUUCCCUGCUCACAAGAAAAUGGGAGGACCCCAGCCUUGGGAGCUGCUUCCCUGCCUCUGACUGUAGCAUCCCUGUCCCUCUCACUCCCCAGACUACACUCAUGCCUCCUUGUUAAUGUCUGGAGAAUAAAAAUUAAAACAA